GUGUUUGUAGUCCAACGGUUAGGCUAAUUGCCUUCUGAGCAAUAGACCUGGGUUCGACUCCGGUAAGCGUA
rnacentral:tRNA from 1 species